GAAUGAAAAAGCACAUAGACAUUUGACAUGUGUGCUACAAUCUUCUAUGCAUAUCCAGGCUCUCGGUCGGUGGAUCACAGUACCAUAUGAUGAUGAGUCAUCUGAACAAAAGCCAACAUUGUUACUUUUCAACCACUCAAGACUGUUUGAAUCAAAGGAAACAUAGAACAGGAGUGGCAAGUACUGAUAGCCGGCUAUAUAUCAGUCUCGGAAAAGUAUUGCCAGUCUAGACAUAUGUUAUACAAAACAUACUAGGUGGUUUCAUUAUUAUGUUAUCAGCAAUGCUAAUCUUGUGGCCUAACCUCCUCUGAGACCCUUCCUGGAAAACUUCUGUAUGGGAAUUUUCUUCUUGUUGUUGUCCCCUUCCAUUUCAACGCUGUGAGGCAUAUCACUCCGUCCUUUGUGUCAGGACAAAGCCAAGGUGAUAUGCCUGAUGACAUACUGUGCCAGGGUAUAGACUUGCAUAGAAGCUCCUUUGUUGCACAAAACAGAGGAAAACAGAGAAGUUCUAGUCCUGUGUGCCAUCUUCUGUUGUAAUCUUUAUCGUGCAGUUACCGUGGACUAUGAAACAAACAGUCUUGGCUUUGAAAUAAGAUUAGAUUGUUUAUAGUUGUGUCUGUCCUCUCACAUCGCAUCUCUUGAAACUUAGAAGCCAUCUUCAGAAACGUAUAUUUUCACUAUGGUGUAUUUCCUUACUUUUUUCUUUUUUCUUUUUUUUUUAAUUAUACCCACUGGUUAAUGAUGAAAUAUCCCUCUCAUUACCAAUUAAUUUUUUUAAAAUAAGAUAUUUAGUUUAAGAUACCACUCUCACAAAUUGAGUCUUAAAAUUAAGCCAUUAGGCAAGCACAAAACUUGUUGUGAAUUAAAGUCUACAAAUUAACUCUCAUUUUUUUUUUUAGUCCUGUUUGGUCACAAAUAAUUAAAGUAGUCUACAAAUUAUUCUGAUUAAGUUCAUGUACAGGCAUUCUCAUUCCAGAACAAACCAGCUUGUUUUUAACUAAAAUGGAACGAGGCACUUCUCUCAUCAGAAUGGCCCCAUAUGGAAUUAAUCAGGAACAGUUCCAUGUGUAGGGAAGCCUUAAUUAACUUUGAAUGAGUUUCAUUUGCAAUAACUUUGCUGCCAUGUAUAUUUGGCUCUAGAUGUAUGUAUUGGGAUACUAAACCGCUUACAAAUUGUGCACAAAGUCUUUGAUGUAAAGUUUUUGCCAGAAUGUGAUAGUGUUUUUUUUUUCUUUUCAAAAAUGUUAUUAUAUGUUGAUGGGGGAAAAAAAAAAUAGAAGAAGAAUCUAUUCCAGUUUUCAGUCGGUAUGUUAUGCUGUCUAUUUUUAUGUUACCUGAGUGGUAUUUUCUCUUUCUUGAGUACUUGAUUUUGAUUUCCAAAAAUUGCAUAGCUUACCUGCUUUUAUUAUGGAAAUUAAGUAAGAUAGAAUAUACUGAACUAAACUUUCACACUGUCAGCUUUCACUGCCAGAAUGAUCAGAAUUUUCUUUCAUACUUUACUAUGUCAGUAGAUGUUUGCUUGUUUAUAGAUAAGUUUAGUGUCUUUCCUAUGCUGUUUGAUUAAGGACAAAAAGAUACCAUCAUCUAAUAUUUUAGAUUUGGUUUGAUAUAGACCAGUUGUAUUUGAUUUGAUUUAUACCAGUCUUUUCAGUUUGAAGUAUAGUAUGGUCUAUACGUUUUGAGUUAAUUAAUUUUUGAAUUAAAAGUAUUGUAAAUUCCAUUAUAUUUGCUGUAUCUAUGAAUACUAUUUAUACUAUUAUUUCUUUGUUAUAGAAUAAAGAAGAAUGUCUAAGGUUAAAUAAGAGGGUUUGGACUGUUAGGGACCAAAGCAAACUGUUUAUACUUCUGAGUGCCUUUAUAUAUAAAAUGUAUCCACAAUUUCACUAACUCUGUUCCUUUAAAAAAAUAACUCUCCACG
rnacentral:lncRNA from 7 species